UAGGGAAUCUUCGGCAAUGGGGGGAACCCUGACCGAGCAACGCCGCGUGAGUGAAGAAGGUUUUCGGAUCGUAAAGCUCUGUUGUUAAGGAAGAACGAGUGUGAGAAUGGAAAGUUCAUACUGUGACGGUACUUAACCAGAAAGGGACGGCUAACUACGUGCCAGCAGCCGCGGUAAUACGUAGGUCCCGGGCGUUGUCCGGAUUUAUUGGGCGUAAAGCGAGCGCAGGCGGUUAGAUAAGUCUGAAGUUAAAGGCAGUGGCUUAACCAUUGUAGGCUUUGGAAACUGUUUAACUUUAGUGCAGAAGGAGAGAGUGGAAUUCCAUGGGUAGCGGUGAAGUGCGUAGAUAGAUGGAGGAACACCGGUGGCGAAAGCGGCUCUCUGGUCUGUAACUGACGCUGAGGCUCGAAAGCGUGGGGAGCGAACAGG
rnacentral:rRNA from 1 species